rnacentral:rRNA from 1 species
GACAGAGGGUGCAAACGUUUGUUCGGAAUUACUGGGCGUAAAGCGUGUGUAGGCGGCCAAGCAAGUCGCGUGUGAAAGCCCCCGGCUCAACUGGGGAGGGUCACGCGAUACUGAUCGACUGGAAGGCAGGAGAGGGUAGUGGAAUUCCCGGUGUAGUGGUGAAAUGCGUAGAUAUCGGGAGGAACACCAGUGGCGAAGGCGACUACCUGGCCUGUUCUUGACGCUGAGGCGCGGACAGCGUGGGGAGCAAACGAGG